rnacentral:lncRNA from 1 species
AAAUUAAAUGUUGCCACUUGUCCUGAGCUGGAAAAAUGGCUAACAGCUGAACUGUUCUAACAGAAUGGGAAGACAGAUGGACAAAUGACCUCCUGGUGCUGAGAGAGGGAAGGAGGCAGCUGCCUGUGGAUCCACUGUGCUGGGGCUAGCCCCAGAGGAGGGGGCUCACACUGCUGGGAGGUCCUUUCCAGGCUGUGUGGCUGCAGGUCAUGAACUCUGAGAGUUUGAGAUGAGCCUCUAAAAGCUGUAUCAAUAGCACCUUGCACUGUUGAAGCAGGUAAGUGUUUUCCUUGUUACUUCUUAAGUUCAGUUGGAAACCCAACAUAGCAAAUCCUCUAGAAUGCAGCUGAAGCAGUACUAAGGCUGGGUGUGGUGGCUCAUGCCUAUAAUCCUGUAGGGAGGCAAAAGCGGGAGGAUUGCUGGAGCCCAGGAGUUCAAGACCAGCCUGGGCAACACGGCAAGACCUGGUUCUCCACAAAAAGGAAAAAAAAAUGCUAAGAGGCAAGUAUAUAGCAAUAAACUCCUACAUCAAAAAAGUAGAAACAUUUCAAAUAAGAGAUUGGGGGCAGUGGCUCAUGCCUGUAAUCCUAGCACUUUUGGAGGCCGAGGUGGGUAGAUUGCUUGAGACCAGGAGUUCGAGACCAGCAUGGGCAACAUAGCGAGACCCUGUCUCUACAAAAAAUCAGAAAAUUAGCCAGGCGUGGUGGUGCAAGCCUGUAGCCCCAGCUACUCGGGAGGCUAGGGUGGGAGGAUUGAUUGAGCCUUUGAGGUAGAGGUUGCAGUGAGCUGAGAUUGUGCCAUUGCAUUCCAGCCUGGGUGACAGAGCUAGACCCUGUCUCAAAAAAAGAAAGAGAGAAAGAAAGAGAAAUAAAUAAAGAGAGAAAGAAAGAAAAGAAAGAAAACAAACAAGGAAGGAAGAAAGAAAAAGAAAGAGAAAGAAAGAAAGAAAAAGAAAAAGAAAGAAAGAAAGACUUCAAUAACCUAAGGAUGCACCUCAAGAAUCUAGGAAAGCGAGAACAAACCAAACCCAAAAAUUAGUAGAAGAAAGUAAAUAAAGCGCAGAGCAGAAACAAAUAAGAUUGAGACCAAAAAAAUACAUAAAAGAUCAAUGAAAAAAAAAUUGCUUUUACAUCAUGGUCUUGACCUUGCAGGGAUGGCCCCUCCCAGUUUUAGCCAAUUUCUCGAGUGAUAAAUAACUUGCUUGAGAGCAUGCCUUUUAUAUAUAAACCACCAAUCCAGAGCCCACAUCCCACCCACUCUCUAACAGGGCGCUAUACUCACCCCAGGGCCAGGUAUCACACCACUAAGAACAGCCCUUUUCCCCAGAUCCCACUGAGGUUAUCCAAAGUGACCAGCCCUAACCUAUGAAAUCUGCCUCACUUCUUCCUUUCCACAGAAACUAUAGCAAAGUCUUGUCCACACCCACAUUUCACUCACCUCCUUCUGACUCCUGGCAGAUCCUGGCGCUUUCCCCAUGGGGCUGCCUGAGCUGAGACGGGCUCUCUUCUCCUGGAAACUGAGUAACACAAUUUAUUUCAAUGACAGUCACUUCCUCAUCUGUUGGCCUCAGCGUACCUCCAAUUUUCCAUUACACAAUAAAUGGAAAAUAAUAUAGGCCGGGUGUGGUGGCUCACGCCUGUAAUCCCAGCACUUUGGGAGGCCGAGGUGGGUGGAUCACCUGAGGUCAGGAGUUUGAGACCAGCCUGACCAGCAUGGCGAAACCCCAUCUCUACUAAAAAUAGAAAAAUUAGCUGAGCUUCGUGGCUGGAGCCUGUAGUCCCAGAUACUUGGGAGGCUGAGCCAGGAGAAUUGCUUGAACUCAGAAGGCAGAGGUUGCAGUGAGCCGAGAUCAUGCCGCUGCACUCUAGCCUGGGAGACAGAGCGAGACUCCAUCUCAGAAAAAAAAAAAAAAAAGAAAAUUGAAUUGGGCCAGCCCCUCCACACCUGUGGGUAUUUCUCAUCAGGUGGGACGAGAGACUGAGAAAAGAAAUGACACAGAGACGAAGUAUAGAGAAAGAACAGUGGGCCCAGGGGACCAGCGCUCAGCAUACAGAGGACCCGCACUGGCGCCAGCCCCUGAGUUCCCUCAGUAUUUAUUGAUCAUUAUUUUUACUAUCUUAACAAGGGGAGCGUAGAAGGACAACAGGUGGGGAGAAGGUCAGCAGGGAAACGUGCGCAAAGGAAUCUGUAUCAUGAAUAAGUUCAAGGAAAGGUACCGUGGCUGGAUGUGCACGUAGACUAGAUUUAUGUUUCUCUUUACCCAAACAUCUCAGUGUAGCAAAGAGUCACAGAGCAGUAUUGCUGCCAGCAUAUCUCACCUCCAGCCACAGGGCGGUUUUCUCCUAUCUCAGAAUAGAACGAAUGGGAAUGAUCGGCUUUACACCCAGAUAUUCCAUUCCCAGGGACGAGCAGGAGACAGAAGCCUUCCUCUUAUCUCAACUGCAAAGAGGCCUCCCUCUUUCACUCCUCCUCCUCAGCACAGACCCUUUAAGGGUGUCCCGCUGGGGGAUAUAAGGUCUUUCCUUUCCCAUGAGGCCAUAUCUCAGGCUAUCUCAGUGAGGGGAAACCUUGGACAAUACCCAGGCUUUCUUGGGCAGAGGUCCGUGUGGCUUUCCGCAGUGCAUUGUGUCCCUGGUUAAUCGAGACUGGAGAAUGGCGAUGACUUUUACCAAGCAUACUGCCUGCAAACAUAUUGUUAACAAGGCACAUGCUGUACAGCCCUA